rnacentral:lncRNA from 1 species
CAGUAAUUGUCUCAUCCAAUUUCAUAAUAUCUCCAUGUACAUGUUAAAAGUAUGGCUUUGUUUUAUAGAUGAGAAAAAUGAAGCCAAGACAGGGUAAACAAACAUGUCCAAUUCCACGCAACUAGAAAGAGGCAGAGUUAAAACUUAAAUUCAGAUCUUUGGACCCCAGACUUAUAUUUCUUUCAAAUAUGCCACCAUGGCCAUGCCAUUUUGAAUGCUGAAUCCAUUCAGAGGUCAGUAGAGUUCUUUGCAACAACCUCUGUUUUAAAAAUACAGACAUGCCAAAAGAGGGUCACAAAAGCUCUGCCGUAUUUUAAAUGUUUACUUUUUAAGAAUGAACACUUUUCAAAAACAACCCUAUAGUAACCUAUUUUAAAACAAAAUAUCAGAUUUUUCAUGAAUGUGAAGCCUGAAUCAAAUGUGUCUCCUGAGCCCUCUCCCAUAGGCCCCUGGGGUCUGCAGGACAUCUUUGACACCGAGCAUGUGAACGUCACUAUAAUCUAAGGAAGAGGUGCUUCUUGGCAGCGACUUCACAAUCUUUAAAGCUAACCUGAGUUACUUUGGCUCCCUUGAGCAGGUGUUGAAUUGGCUGAAGCAAAUCUUGAAAGAAAGUGAGUUUUAAUUGACUCCAUAAUUUGACAGAAAUCCGCAAAUAAGGAUAAUCAAAGACUUGUUCAUUGUUCCCCAAAUGGAUGUCACUCGCCCAUUUCCAACGUUGUAGGAGUUAAAACCCUUCUAUUAGGGCCAAAUAAAGAAAAAUCUCUAUUUUUUACCAGUUUAGAUCUCUGUAGUGAUUCAUUUCUGCUGGAAAUUUAGAGCAUGAACAGCUUUAAAUGUCUGACUGUCUUCAAAGACUUAGGCAAUGGCAGCAGUGGGAUUUACUUACUGGGAAUGGGAGUAAGGGGGAUGGUCCUAAUUUUUUAGAAGCAGGAUUACCAGCAAGGCUUCCAGAGUGUGGUUAUUUCCUUUGGUUCCUUAUUAGCUUCCCAAGGAUCCAAGCAGGCAUGUUUUUCUGGUGGAAGCCUUGGCUAUAUGAGUAUGUCAGUAUUGUAUAUUUGCACCUUGCUAAACCUGUCUGAAUGUAGGAGUUAUAAAUUCUCAAAACUCAGAUAUAACCCAGAGUCAGAGUAAAGUCAUUUCUAAUAUUUAUAUAUCAUAGGCCCAUGCUUGUGUGAUGAAUGAUCAAAAAAAAAAAAAAGAACAAAAAAGGUACAUGCAAAUAGGGCAAAGGCCAGAAAAGAGACCUUAACCUGAUGCUAUUACUUAGAAUAAUGAAAAAUACCUUUAUGAAAGUAUUAAUAUGUAAAUAUGUACAUACAUAAUCUAGCAAAAGCAGACAAACACAUGUCUUUCAGAUAAAGACAUUUCCUUUUUAUUCUACUCACUUGGGGCCCAGGUCAGUAUAAAUUGGUCAACCUGAAAAUUUCAGUAGUCUCUGUUUGCAUGGCAGAAAUUCUGCACAUGUUUUAUCUGAUUCCUAAGAUAACUUAAAAGGCUCUUUUAUGUUAAAAGAGAGGUGAACCUUCUUUGACAGACUUUGUCUAUUCCACUUCUAGCUGGGCCUCUCUUUUCUCAGGAUCUAUCCUAGCCAAAUAUCUCAGUUACAU